rnacentral:rRNA from 1 species
AGAGUUUGAUCCUGGCUCAGAGCGAACGCUGGCGGCAGGCCUAACACAUGCAAGUCGAACGGGCCCUUUCGGGGGUCAGUGGCAGACGGGUGAGUAACGCGUGGGAACGUGCCCAUCGGUUCGGGAUAACCCAGGGAAACUUGGGCUAAUACCGGAUACGCCCUUUUGGGGAAAGAUUCAUUGCCGAUGGAUCGGCCCGCGUCUGAUUAGCUUGUUGGUGAGGUAACGGCUCACCAAGGCGACGAUCAGUAGCUGGUCUGAGAGGAUGAUCAGCCACACUGGGACUGAGACACGGCCCAGACUCCUACGGGAGGCAGCAGUGGGGAAUAUUGGACAAUGGGCGCAAGCCUGAUCCAGCCAUGCCGCGUGAGUGAUGAAGGCCUUAGGGUUGUAAAGCUCUUUCACCCACGACGAUAAUGACGGUAGUGGGAGAAGAAGCCCCGGCUAACUUCGUGCCAGCAGCCGCGGUAAUACGAAGGGGGCUAGCGUUGCUCGGAAUCACUGGGCGUAAAGGGCGCGUAGGCGGCCGAUCAAGUCAGGGGUGAAAGCCUGUGGCUCAACCACAGAAUUGCCUUUGAUACUGUUUGGCUCGAGACCGGAAGAGGUUGGUGGAACUGCGAGUGUAGAGGUGAAAUUCGUAGAUAUUCGCAAGAACACCAGUGGCGAAGGCGGCCAACUGGUCCGGUUCUGNNGCUGAGGCGCGAAAGCGUGGGGAGCAAACAGGAUUAGAUACCCUAGUAGUCC